UACGGAGGGAGCUAGCGUUGUUCGGAAUUACUGGGCGUAAAGCGCGCGUAGGCGGCUUUGUAAGUUAGAGGUGAAAGCCCGGAGCUCAACUCCGGAACUGCCUUUAAAACUGCAUCGCUUGAAUCCAGGAGAGGUGAGUGGAAUUCCGAGUGUAGAGGUGAAAUUCGUAGAUAUUCGGAAGAACACCAGUGGCGAAGGCGGCUCACUGGACUGGUAUUGACGCUGAGGUGCGAAAGCGUGGGGAGCGAACGGG
rnacentral:rRNA from 1 species